UACGGAGGGUGCAAGCGUUAUUCGGAAUUACUGGGCGUAAAGCGCGUGCAGGCGGCUUGGAAAGUCUGAUGUGAAAGCCCCGGGCUUAACCUGGGAAGUGCAUUGGAAACUCUCAAGCUUGAGUACUGGAGAGGAAGGGAGAAUUCCCGGUGUAGAGGUGAAAUUCGUAGAGAUCGGGAGGAACACCAGUGGCGAAGGCGCCCUUCUGGACAGCUACUGACGCUGAGACGCGAAAGCGUGGGGAGCAAAC
rnacentral:rRNA from 1 species